AGUUAGCCCAUAUGCAGAGGGACAAGUUGCGUGCCACAGAGCGACGGAGGAGGGGAGGGGAGCAGCGUAAGAAGGUACAAAGCAAGGAGCGAAGCGGGCCAUCGGUACUGGAGGUGACUCGGGCAAGGCGGUACGCAUGCCUUGACGUGGCAAGCUCUUGAUGACAGAGCGGGGUGGUCGAGCGGCCAAGGUAAAGGAGAGCAAGUUGGGAAUUGGUCCUGGGCAGGCUGAGGUUUUCAGGCGGUGUCUCAGCAUGCGUCUUCUGCUUUGGUUUUUGCAGGUGGUGCACACAGCCUCAGAGGAGCCAUGCCGCAGGCCAAUGAGGAGUUUGAGA